rnacentral:rRNA from 1 species
GCAAGCGUUGUUCGGAAUUACUGGGCGUAAAGGGCUCGUAGGCGGUCAACUAAGUCAGACGUGAAAUCCCCAGGCUCAACCUGGGAACUGCGUCUGAUACUGGAUGGCUUGAAUUCGGGAGAGGGAUGCAGAAUUCCAGGUGUAGCGGUGAAAUGCGUAGAUAUCUGGAGGAAUACCGGUGGCGAAGGCGGCAUCCUGGACCGACAUUGACGCUGAUGAGCGAAAGCUAGGGGAGCAAACGGG